rnacentral:rRNA from 1 species
UUACGGGAGGCAGCAGUAGGGAAUAUUGGACAAUGGGCGCAAGCCUGAUCCAGCAAUACCGCGUGUGUGAAGAAGGCCUGAGGGUUGUAAAGCACUUUUAAUCGGGAGGAACAUCUACGGGUUAAUACCCCGUAGUCUGACAUUACCGAUAGAAAAAGCACCGGCUAACUCCGUGCCAGCAGCCGCGGUAAUACGGAGGGUGCAAGCGUUAAUCGGAAUUACUGGGCGUAAAGCGUGCGUAGGCGGUUAUUUAAGUCAGAUGUGAAAGCCCCGGGCUUAACCUGGGAACUGCAUUUGAUACUGGGUAACUAGAGUUGAGUAGAGGAGAGGGGAAUUUCAGGUGUAGCGGUGAAAUGCGUAGAGAUCUGAAGGAACACCAGUGGCGGAGGCGCCUCUCUGGACUCAAACUGACGCUGAGGUACGAAAGCGUGGGUAGCAAACAGGAUUAGAUACCCUGGUAGU